GACGAACGCUGGCGGCGUGCUUAACACAUGCAAGUCGCACGGAACGGCCCUGCUUUUUUGGGGUGCUCGAGUGGCGAACCGCUGAGUAACACGUGAGUCACCUGCCCACGACUCUGGGAUAACUUCACGAAUCUCGCGUUCAUACCGCGUAGGAGCUCCUGCCGCAUGGUGGGGGAUGCAAAGUUUCGGCGGGUGGGGAUGGACUCGCGGCUUAUCAGCUUGUUGGUGGGGUAGUGGCUGACCAAGGCUUUGACGGGUAGCCGGCCUGAGAGGGUGACCGGCCACAUUGGGACUGAGAUACGGCCCGGACUACAACGGGAGGCAGCAGUGGAGAAUAGUGCAUUAUGGGCGGAGGCCUGAUGCAGCAACGCAGCGUGCGGGAUGACGGCCUGCGGGUUGUAUACCGCUUUCGCCUGGGACGAAGCGUGAGAGACGGUAAUGGGUAAAGAAGCACCGGCUAACUACGUG
rnacentral:rRNA from 1 species